AAUACAAAGCUAGCUUAUUUCUGUAAUGACGAAGAAGGAGGUUUUUUAAUUCGGUGAGACUGGAUGCAUGUUUUAUAGAAUCAGGGAGCCUAUUACAUAUCUUAACUGUCCUGGGGAAAUAUGAAUUUAUAAAGUAAUUUUGGCGAUGGGAUGAAUAAAAGCGGUAAUUUGCCUCAUCAAAGUUUCGCGUAGCAUAGCCAGACGAAGCUGGUUGUAAUAAGUUCUGGAGGUUAGCGUUAAUGAGACCAGUCUUAGACUUAAAAAGGAGAAUUAGAUCUAUUGUUUCUCUGCGAUGUUCCAAUGGGAGUAUGUUCAGCAUGGCUAAUCUUUCCGUAUAGUUUAUGUUGCUUGGGUAGUCCAAAAUAAACUUUGUGGCACGACGCUGUAUAUUUUCGAUAAGUUUCUUGUGCUUUACUGUGUAAGGUGAACAUAGACUACUCGCGUACUCUAGUAGAGGUCUAACUAAUGACACGUAUAGGAGCAGUCUAAUGGAACGGUCGUGGAAGUCUUUGGAGACGCGUUUUACUAGGCCUAGAGUUUUGUUUGCCUUAGCGCACAUCUGUUCAAU